AGCGUAGGCGGACAUUUAAGUCAGGGGUGAAACCCCGGGGCUCAACCUCGGAAUUGCCUUUGAUACUGGGUGUCUUGAGUAUGAGAGAGGUGUGUGGAACUCCGAGUGUAGAGGUGAAAUUCGUAGAUAUUCGGAAGAACACCAGUGGCGAAGGCGACACACUGGCUCAUUACUGACGCUGAGGCUCGAAAGCGUGGGGAGCAAACA
rnacentral:rRNA from 1 species